rnacentral:misc_RNA from 1 species
CGGCAUGGCGGCGCACAUCUAUCUCAUCACCAAAUCGAUGGUGGAUCAGCAUUUCUACAAUGCCGACGGCGAACUGAUGUUCGUUCCGCAGGACGGCAACCUGCGCAUUGUCACCGAGUUCGGCAUUAUCGACAUUGAGCCCGGUGAGAUCGCCGUGAUCCCGCGCGGCGUCAAAUUCCGCGUUGAAAUUCCGGGUGGUCCGGCGCGCGGUUAUNAGAAUUAUGGUGGCGCGUUCACGCUGCCGGAGCGCGGACCGAUUGGUGCGAACUGUCUGGC